CAGUAGCCGCGGGAAUACGUAGGUGGCAAGCGUUGUCCGGAAUUAUUGGGCGUAAAGGGCUCGCAGGCGGUUUCUUAAGUCUGAUGUGAAAGCCCCCGGCUCAACCGGGGAGGGUCAUUGGAAACUGGGAAACUUGAGUGCAGAAGAGGAGAGUGGAAUUCCACGUGUAGCGGUGAAAUGCGUAGAGAUGUGGAGGAACACCAGUGGCGAAGGCGACUCUCUGGUCUGUAACUGACGCUGAGGAGCGAAAGCGUGGGGAGCAAACAGGAUCAGAUACCCGAGUAGUCCCUGUCUCUUAUAC
rnacentral:rRNA from 1 species